AUUGAACGCUGGCGGCAUGCCUUACACAUGCAAGUCGAACGGUAACAGGUCUUCGGAUACUGACGAGUGGCGAACGGGUGAGUAAUACAUCGGAACGUGCCCGAUCGUGGGGGAUAACGAAGCGAAAGCUUUGCUAAUACCGCAUAAGAUCUAAGGAUGAAAGCAGGGGACCGCAAGGCCUUGCGCGAACGGAGCGGCCGAUGGCAGAUUAGGUAGUUGGUGGGAUAAAAGCUUACCAAGCCGACGAUCUGUAGCUGGUCUGAGAGGACGACCGGCCACACUGGGACUGAGACACGGCCCAGACUCCUACGGGAGGCAGCAGUGGGGAAUUUUGGACAAUGGGCGAAAGCCUGAUCCAGCCAUGCCGCGUGCAGGAUGAAGGCCUUCGGGUUGUAAACUGCUUUUGUACGGAACGAAAAGACUCUUUCUAAUAAAGAGGGUCCAUGACGGUACCGUAAGAAUAAGCACCGGCUAACUACGUGCCAGCCGCCGCCGUAA
rnacentral:rRNA from 1 species